AACUGAGGGAUGCUGUACUGCUUGUGUUUGCUAACAAGCAAGAUCUUCCAAAUGCUAUGAAUGCUGCUGAGAUUACUGACAAGCUUGGUCUUCAUUCUCUCCGUCAACGUCACUGGUAUGUGCUAUGUGGUGCUUCUUUAAUUGCAAGAUGUUUUAAGUUUGUGUGUAUAAUAAGCAUGGCUGGAGAUUACCAUGGUUCUCAUGUGCUACCAAAUGCUGAAUCUAUGACUUCUUCAAUUGCAAAAUGUUUUAAGUUUGUGUGUAUAAUAAGCAUGGCUGGAGAUUACCAUGGUUCUCAUGUGCUACCAAAUGCUGAAUCUAUGACCUUAUGUGACACAGGUACAUUCAGAGCACUUGCGCUACCUCUGGAGAAGGGUUGUAUGAGGGGCUUGACUGGCUCUCAAACAACAUUGCAAAUUUUGUUCUGCUAGUCGUUCAGAGCACUUGCGCUACCUCUGGAGAAGGGUUGUAUGAGGGGCUUGACUGGCUCUCAAACAACAUUGCAAACAAGGUGUGGACGCACUUAUUAUUACAUUUGGUUUUAUUUCUCGCUUUUAUUAGCUUUAAAAUAUGCAUUGUUGUUAUUGCAGGGUUGAACGGGGGAUCCAUGAUUUUUGCAGCUAUAUUUUUGUCAAUAUAGACUUCAACAAUGUCUAGAGCAUUUAUGUACUUACUGAUCUUUCUUUCGCGAGAUAUAUCUGCUUAUCCAUAUUGUUAUCAGUACAUUUACCCUUUUCUGUUAAAAAAUGGUAUUCUGCAGUAACUUUAGGUUAAAUUCAUGUAAUACUUUGCCCUUUGGCUGACAUAUGCUCAGCGACUGUGCCUUCAACAUUUUGUUUUAAUUGAGAUUAAGGUUCUCUCCCCGUAAUUGGUUGGUUGAAGUUGGUGAUGUUUCUCUACACUGCUGGUGAGCAUGUCUUUACUAUUUCUUGUGCUACUUAUAUCUGUUAGACAAAUUUGAAUUCGGAACUUUUAAGUAUUUUGUUGUGUUGAGAAGUUUAGGC
rnacentral:lncRNA from 1 species